GAGCCCAGGGAAGAUAGUAGUUUUGAACAUGUCAAGACGAGAACCGUGUCUAUUAACAUUACUGUUGGAAAUGAAUAUGCUAUCGUCAAUGGACUUGAUGUUGUUACAGGAAAAACCGAAGGACAUGGAACCGCAGCACAAGCAAUCAAUGUUCAGCAUGAAGAUAAAAAGAUCAAGCUGAGUUUUAUCUCCAAGGAUACCAAGUUUACUGUGAAUUGGACAGUCAAGAAGCACAUCUUGAAUGUUUCCUUUUCUGGGAAUGCCUACAACAAUAAACUUUGUGGGCUGCUGGGAAAUGCUGAUGGUGAUACUCGUAAUGACUUCCAAACACCAGAUGGCGCUGUUAUACGCGAUGCUGUUGAGUUUGGGGAAAGCUGGAAAGUGAAGGGAAAGGAAUGUGACUAAGGCAAUAGAAAUUGUUCUGCGAUUUUGAAAAGUUCAACUGGUAGCAUGUAAUUACUCACUGUAAUGGACAUGGAUACAAGGAAGCAGAUUUGGGUGGUGGUUAUUAUUAGAAGUAGAACACAUCAGUCUAUGGGGAGUAAUGUCAGCAAAUUGCGCUGCGUGCAAUUCAGAAAACAUUUUAGCACAAUAAAUAAAAGAAUACCUCAUU